GCAUGGUGUAGUGGUUUGAGUGUUGGACUAUGACUCCGAAGAUCAGGGUUCAAAUUCCUGCUCAAGCA